GUUAUCUUAAUCGGGGUUGUUUUCGAAUUCUUUGUGGAUCUGUGUAAUCUGAGGGAAAUGUCUCUCUAAUAUAGUUAGUUACACAUUGAGGCAGGAGGUUAGGAAGUGCAGCCCAGUUUUCACCUCAUUUUGUAGGAAGUGUGCACAUAGCCUGUCUUCUCCAUCAGUGUUUUAUUCUAGGCUACUACACUGCGAGAGCAAACACACUUCUCGAAAAUCAAAGGAGACUUGAUACGGCACUUCUGAUAUCUCGCCUGGAACUUCCUCUUUUAUGGCAGGUAGACUACAGUAGGCUAUUAACGCGCCUGUAUAUGUCGUUACAGCUACUUAUUUGCCCCAGUAUCUGUGCGCUAGAGAUGUCGACGAUACACGUUAUACUCAUCGUCGACAUCUCUAACGCACAGAUACUGGCGCACUAUCCGAGUUAUUAUUUGCUUAUGCUACUGUAUUUGUUAUUGCCGUUGGUCGGUGUCAGUAAAUGAUUGCCAAAGGGAAUUGUUGAAUCGUAUUAAAUAGCUUCUGCAUUUCGCCGAGCCAGCGUUUUUUGGGGAUAUGCUACCUGUGGCUUUGUGGUACGUUGGCAGCAGUUUUACUUAUACUCUGCUUUUCCUGGCCACAGUAAUAACCUACAGCGUGGUGAUAUAAAAUGUAUUAUAGCGCUGUAAUUGUAUGGAUAUUAACAUGUAGCCUUUCAGCGUACCCUGGACAUUUUGUAUAAUAUAAUAGUAAACACGGGAUAUCUCAGUGUCGGUUUAUAGAUAGAGAAUUAGGUUGCAGAUCUGCAGACAGCAUUUCGCAGAGGCAGACUUCGCGAUGAAGGACAUUUCGAGGGUUAUGGUGUAGGGGUUACCGACCGAUCAUCAUCAAAAGCGACUGAACGAAGGAGGCCACGCGAGUCAAUGCAAUGGAGCCCCAGAGGAUGACAUCUUCAUCCCUGAAAAUGUUUUCAUCCUGGAGGAGACUGCAGGAGGCAGGUGGUUCGGUACUGUUUGAAGACUUUGAGGGAACAGAUGGUCGCCAGACAAAAUAAUAACAACAAUAAGGUAGCUAAGCCACUCAAGGAGACAGGUCAGUGUGUGUAGAGGGAACACAUUUGAGCAGGUGGAGUCAGUCUUCUACUUCAUCUCCCUGGCCACUACACCAAUGAGGCUGAGGACCUCAAGUUUGGACCAAUUAUGCUAAUGCCCCACUGUAAGAACCUGGAGAUUUUCACUGGUUCUGAGGGAGGUGACGUGGCCACAAACAGUGCAUGGGACACCUUCCAGCACUACAUCUGUCUAGAGAACAGCCAGAGAGGGUGGUCAAGACAUCUGCCGUAACUUCAUCUUUAGUGUGUCAGCUCUGCUGUACCUGGGAGCUAAAGAUGGCUCUGGCUUGCUGAUGUCAUCUGAUCUGAUGAGAUUCCCUAUGUGAUUUCACUCCUGUAUCACUGACUGUAUUAAAAAAUAAAAACAUCCAAUGACAAAUAUAAAUAAUUUGGGAUUCUGUAAUUGAUAGUCGAUUGGGUCAAAUCCAAUUCAAAAACACUGAGUUAAGAAAGAAGAAAUGUGGUCCAGCGAGAAGAGGAUGGGUCCCCUGCACAGGCCAGUCAAGAGUGCAAUUUAAACUUGCAAGUGUGACUUUGAGCAAGCAAAACAUCAGUCACACAUAAAAGUACAUCUUAAACAGUACAUAAUAUGUUAAUAAAUGUCUUAUUACUUGUAACAUAGGUUGCGUGUAAGAGAGAGAAUGUUGCUCGCAUGUUGUUUGUCCGUUAGCCCAAGGCUUUGGAAUACAAGUGUGAAUCCUUAGCCCAGGGUUAAAUCA